UUCCGGUUGAUCCUGCCGAAGGCUACUGCUAUUGGAGUUCGAUUAAGCCAUGCGAGUCUAAGGGAUCUUCGGAUCCCUGGCGUAAUGCUCAGUAACACGUGGAUAAUCUACCCUCAGGUGGGGCAUAAACCCGGGAAACUGGGGCCAAUUCCCCAUAAAUACAGAUGGCUGGAAUGCUUCUGUAUUCAAAGCUCCGGCGCCUGAGGAUGAGUCUGCGGCCUAUCAGGUUGUAGUCAGGGUCAUGACCUGACUAGCCAGCGACGGGUAUGGGGUGUGAGAGCACUUGCCCAGAGAUGGUUUCUGAGACACGAAACCAGGCCCUACGGGGCGCAGCAGGCGCGAAAACUUCGCAAUGCGGGAAACCGUGACGAGGGAACUCCAAGUGUCUAUGCAUUGCAUAGACUGUUUUUUAGCCUAAAUAGCUAUUAGAGUAAGGGGUGGGUAAGACCGGUGCCAGCCGCCGCGGUAACACCGGCACCCCGAGUGGUAGCCACUAUUAUUGGGCCUAAAGCGUUCGUAGCCGGUUUGGUAAAUUCUUGGGUAAAUCGUACCGCUUAACGGUGCGGAUUCCGGGGACACUACCAGACUUGAGACCGGGGGAGAUCAGAGGUACUUGCGGGGGAGCGGUGAAAUGUUGUAAUCCCGCAGGGACCACCAGUGGCGAAGGCGUCUGAUCAGAACGGCUCUGACGGUGAGGAACGAAACCCUGGGGCGCAAACGGGAUUAGAUACCCCG
rnacentral:rRNA from 1 species